GGAAGUAAAAGUCGUAACAAGGUUUCCGUAGGUGAACCUGCGGAAGGAUCAUUCGCAUGAAAUACCUUUAUAACGUGAACCAGUCGGCUGCUUUCGAUUUAUUUCGUGAGUUUAGCUGGCUAUAAACAUAUGUUGGGUUAAUUAUCAAGACUUACAUAAGCUUUAUUAAAUAUCAGCGAUGAAUGUCUUGGCUCCCACAACGAUGAAGGCCGCAGCAAAAUGUGACAAUCAUUGUGAAUUGCAGACUUCUUAGAAUCAAUAGAACGCUGGACGCACACGGCACUGUACUUGUACAGUAGGUCUGUUUCAGAGUCACUUUCGAUCUUCCCCAAACCUCCCGUAAAAAGGAGGCGACAAAGGAAGGCAAGGUACUGCUCGUCGAGUAAUUGAUUGGCAGUCGCAUUGUUCUAUAGCUACUCGUUUUGAACAUAUCCGAUUUACUUCGGUUGUUAGAGAUGGGUAAAAUAGCUGUAGCAUACAACUUAUAUGACCUGAAAUCAGACCAGGCUACCCGCUGAACUUAAGCAUAUCAAUAAGCGGAGGA
rnacentral:rRNA from 1 species